rnacentral:rRNA from 1 species
AGUAAUACAUCGGAACGUGUCUUCUGGUGGGGGAUAACUGCCCGAAAGGGCAGCUAAUACCGCAUGAGACCUGAGGGUGAAAGCGGGGGAUCGCAAGACCUCGCGCUGGAAGAGCGGCCGAUGUCCGAUUAGCUAGUUGGUGAGGUAAAGGCUCACCAAGGCGACGAUCGGUAGCUGGUCUGAGAGGACGACCAGCCACACUGGGACUGAGACACGGCCCAG